rnacentral:sRNA from 1 species
UAGAAAGUAGGAAGUUGUUUAAGCGGAA